GUGCUAAAUCAUAAGUUGCAUAAGAGAUGUGGGGGAAAUGUCAGGAGAGAAUGCUUCUGGGAAACCAAUUAUUUUUUCUUAGAUUGUACUAUAUUAAUCAUAUACCACAAUGUCUAUAAUACACCACGAGUAUAUUAUAUUAUUAGUAUUAUGUCACAUUUUAGUGCUAAAUCAUAAGUUGCAUAAGAGAUGUGGGCGAAACGUCAGGAGAGAAUGCUUCUGGGAAACCAAUUAUUAUUUCUUAGAUUGUACUAUAUUAAUCAUAUACCAUGGUUCAGCCUCCUUUCUUGGGGAUUCAUCUGGAAAGAGUUGAAAGAGGAGAGAGACGCCUUUCCUUUGGGGAGUCACUUUUACCUCAGGAAAGGCUUUUCUUCCCGUCCAGAGGACCCUCUCUCUCCCACUCGAUUUUAGAAAUUUCUUUAUCAAACCUUUACCUCAGAAAAGCCUUGUGAAAUAGAAAGAAGAAAAUGCCAAUUUUAUUUAUUAAGAGAUUGUCAUCUCAGACUUUACCUCAGAAAUGGCCAAGCCUUGUGAAACGGAAGGGAGAAACAAAGGCAAAACUUUUGAAAAUUAGCACAGCUUUUUCUGAAGGGACCAGAAAUUUCUUUAUCAAACCUUUACCUCAGAAAAGCCUUGUGAAAUAGAAAGAAGAAAAUGCCAAUUUUAUUUAUUAAGAGAUUGUCACCUCAGACUUUACCUCAGAAAUGGCCAAGCCUUGUGAAACGGAAGGGAGAAACAAAGGCAAAACUUUUGAAAAUUAGCACAGCUUUUUCUGAAGGGACCAGCGCUGAAUUCAAGUCAAAGGGAAGAAAGGGAAGAAACAAAAGGUCGAAGAGACAGAAGACAGAAGAUGCUUGAAGACACUCUCGCAAGGACACCGCCCGCCCCCCAAAAAAGGUCAUUGUCAGGGUAAUGGGUGUCAGGCUAGGCAUUUAAUGUCUAUCUUUGCAAUAAAAAACAGGCUACCUGUGUGCUAGGCUUUUGCAUGAAGAACACGGUUCCCCUCGUGUGUGGCAUCGAAGUUUCCCACUCGGGAACGGACGGGUCCUCCCUUUGUUCUAGGCAGAUGAUGGGGGUUUUCCUAUACAAGCCGUAGGGGCCACAGCUUGGGGGGCAGCGGGGGGCCCGGCCCUGGCACCGC